rnacentral:rRNA from 1 species
AUGAUGAUGCGAGGCAUGGGGUUUGACAAUAUAACCUUCCUCUACGUUGCCUUCGGUAAAAUAUACAAUGCUGCAAAAUACAUGGCUCCCCUUCGCCAGAUGUUCCCUCUUUUACAAACCAAGGACACUCUUGCAUUGUCUGAAGAGCUUGCUGAGUUUGAGGGGUACUCUUCUCGGUUAGCAGCAUUAGAUUACACCGUCUGUGUUCAGAGCGAAGUGUUUGUGAUGACUCAAGGGGGGAACUUCCCUCACUUUUUGAUGGGAUACAGGCGUUACCUGUUAGGAGGGAAUAUCUGGGUCUUCACAAGGAGUUGA